rnacentral:lncRNA from 1 species
AGUCCCAGAAGCAGAUCUCAGUCUCCUGACCUGACAGAAAAAUCCAAUUGUCAUAAUAAAAACUGGAAAGAUUAUAGUCACUAAGCUUUUGUCUCUGAUCAUCUGUCAGAUCUCCUUGAGCUGCUUUUAGAUCCAGAAGAACUCACUACAACAUUCCACUCAACUCAUAAUAGUCUCAUCAUUCAGGAAGCUGUUGUGGUGCCCAGUGAGUACAGCCUUCUUACUGAAGGCACAGUGAGUACAGCCAGGAAGAUCUAUCCACUUCAUGAACUUGCACCGUUGACAACCCCUGCAUGCAGAGAAUGACUUCUCAAAGAUUGCCAAGACUUUCUCUUUCUACAAACUGGAAGCUUGGUUGAGAGCCUGUUUAACUGGGACUCCAUUUGAUACAUCUGCUUGCCUCAAGUCAGGAAAAAAAAAAUUGUCUUGGGCUCAUCAAGUUGAAGGUACAACCAAAAGAGCUAAGAUUGCCUGAAAUAGUCACAUGGCCCCUAGAAUGCGCCCCUGGUGGUGAUGAGCCAGAUUUACAAGCAGAAACUGGCCAAGAGCUCAGAUACUCUGGCCUGGCGGGGGCACAUGUCAAGAUUCAUCACUGCAAUGAAAUCUUUUAUAUGUCUUCGCUGUCCCUUGAAAUCUGUGACAAUUGGGAAGUACAGAAAUAGCACCUUUGUCUUGGGCCCAUAGAGACUGCUCUUCACCUCUAUAGCUGUGACAACAUUGAAGUCAUUGCUGUUUGCCAUCAUUUGUCUAUCUCUUCAACCACAGGUUACAUUUUUUAAUAUUCUGAUGCCUACUUGCCCACUAUUCUCUCUGGGAAUCAGAGAGUAACUUUUGUCACUUUUCAUACUCACUACCUGAUGCUAGAGGACCAUUUGGCCUGGACAGGCCUUGCUACGGUGCCUAAUUAUUGAAAUAAUCCAAUAAUUGUGUGUAGAAAGAAUAGCAACACAAGUGUGUUCCAGCUCUCACCACCUUCUGAAUCCACUAUAUUUAUUAUUCCCUUCUAAAUGGUAGGGGACACCACAGAGAUACCUGGGGAUCUUCCAUCUGCAUAUCAGAAAGCAUUGGGUGAAAGAGAACAGAAGACACAGAUCUGGGGGAAAACUGUAAAGGAG